rnacentral:rRNA from 1 species
UACGAAGGGGGCUAGCGUUGCUCGGAAUUACUGGGCGUAAAGCGUACGUAGGCGGCUUUGUAAGUUAGAGGUGAAAGCCCGGGGCUCAACUCCGGAAUUGCCUUUAAGACUGCAUCGCUUGAAUCAUGGAGAGGUGAGUGGAAUUCCGAGUGUAGAGGUGAAAUUCGUAGAUAUCGGAAGAACACCAGUGGCGAAGGCGACUCACUGGACAUGUAUUGACGCUGAGGUACGGAAAGCGUGGGGAGCAAACAGG